UUUAUAUUUGACAUGAUUGUAAAUUGUCAUUUAUCAAUAUUACUUGAUGAUGAAUCCUACUAUGUCAAUCUCAAGAGACUGGUUCUCAUCCCUGAGCUUGUAGUUCCUCUUCCGUCCUAAAAAUUAAACCAAAAAGCAGAAUUUAACCUGUAGAUCCUGCUCUCUACUGCCCUCUUCCAGUGAUAAGUGACCAUGCACUUUCAGAAUUCAGCUUUUCAGUGAACUUUAUAACCGUAUUGAUGCAUGAAGCGCC